ensembl:snoRNA
UAAUAUGUUUCCAAGGACUGUGGCUGGUACUAGCCAUGGGAUCUCCAACUGCAUGUAAGAACAACCUGGAGAGAUAUUCCUGGAAGA